ensembl:lncRNA
AAGGGCCAGGAUGAGUGAAUCACCAGGUCGUGCCAUACUUAGCUCAUCUCUUUUUUUGGCGAGAUUCGUAGCCUCUAGAUCAGGGCAAUGACCUAGGCUGGGUGUCCCUGGAGAUCAGGAAAGCUUUUGAUUUGGUGGCUUCUUCCAUUCCAUGGGCAAGGUGGAGAAAGAGGGUCUGGAUGACAAGGCAGCCCCAUGGCUUCAGGAGGAAUGACUGAGCAGACUUAGAAAGUAGUCAGGCAUGGAUAAAUGUCAGCUUCAAGUUGCUCUGUAAUGGGCCGCCCGGGGGGAUCUUGCUGUGGUCCUGUUUGACAUUCCAGCAUGGCUUGGAUAGAAGACUUAUAUUCCGACUCGCAUACCCUUGGCCAAAUCAUCCGAGUUGGCCUGGCUUCUCUGGUUCUGGUUGCUAUGGGGAUUUUGAUGGCCGAGGACUGGUACACCAAGAAAGAUACACCGAGGGAUGCAGGGGACAUCUUGUUUGAGAAGCCAAGUUAUUCAGAUAUCAAGGCCAAGCUCCGCUUCUAUUAGUAUGGCAGCUCUUAAGAAACAUGUCCACCAUCUCCUGGCAUGACAGGAACACAUGUAAGGCCUGGAAGCCAUCACUGCCUUUCUUGAUGGCAUUCUGUAACCCCUCUCCUCCUAGGUCAUAAAUAUCUCAUUGAAGCUUGAUCGUCUAAAAUCUGCCAGGCCACCUCUCCCGUCCCCAAGCCAGGGGACUUGCCUCCUUCCCAGGGCAGCCUCCGUCUUCCUGUCCCCCAGUCCCAGAUCCUCUCCCUACUUCCCAGGAAGAGCUUCUCUUGGCCAUGACUUGGCCCCCAUGAACCCAAACAGUGGCAACGACAUAGAGGUUACCAGCAAAGUGUUCAUGGGGUCUGAGUACUAUCCAGACAGAGACUCCAGACGUACCCCUGCCCGGGCUCUCUCAGACACUGCUCUGGAUCCUGCUGCCUCCUUUCCUAGGGGUCUCCAGUGGAGGCCAUGCCAGCUAAAAAACAUUAAGAAUUCUACUCUGGGGGUAAGCUAAGUGACUCAGUAGUUGGAGAGCCAGGCAGUCCUGGGUUCAAAUCCCCAUUGCCUAGCCUUUACCACUCUUCUGCCUUGGAACCAAUACACAGUAUUUACUCUAAGAUGGGAAGUAAGGGUUUAAAAAAAGUAGAAUCCACCCUGUGCCAGUCGCUGUGCUAAGUGCCAGGGCCACAAAGGCCACUGACAGGGGUUCAACCCAAGGCAAAUGAGGUGAGAGGGAGAUGAUGGUACAGCAAGGCUUAAUUGUGGGAAAGGAAAGAGAGGGAGGGUGUGGAGGUGGCAACGGAAGAAGUGGCAGGGAGGCCCAAAGCCUGUAAAGGUGGCUGUGGAAUGGGUUGGGGGAGGAGGGAGCCAGGAGUGAGGGGGAGUCCCAAACCUGUGGAUAGCUAAAGGUCUCCACCUGGAUGGAGAAGAGGGCAAUCUCGGCUAUUCUAUGGGGAAGAAAUGCCAAGUGCACCCAGAGAAGUCGACCUCAAAUAUAUAUAAAGCCAUUGGGAGAUGGAAAGCUAAUACCUGGGCAAGGCUGUGUAGGGGAGCUGGUACUUGGGCUGAGCCUUGAAGAAAACCCCAUUUAGUAAGCUUCUCCUGGGCACAAUACUGCAAGGCUUUGCAGAGUAGAAUAACAGGCCAUAGAUCAUCCUUGGAGCCUGGAAGUUCUGGGUUCAAGUCCUAUUAUGUCUAGGUCAUUCCACUUGCCCCAGACAAUAAAGACUGUACAUGACAAAGGGGUGACCCA